UAUUUUAAAUAACAAACCACAUCACCAACUCGCUCACACAAAAAUGUGUCAAAAUUCUCAGUACUCCUCCAUUUGCAAUAUGAGGUGUAAGUACACCCACACCCCCAAAAGUUAUCUGGAUCCCUGUAUGAUGUAUUGGAAUCU